GAUGAACGCUGGCGGCGUGCCUAAUACAUGCAAGUCGAGCGAACGGACGAGAAGCUUGCUUCUCUGAUGUUAGCGGCGGACGGGUGAGUAACACGUGGAUAACCUACCUAUAAGACUGGGAUAACUUCGGGAAACCGGAGCUAAUACCGGAUGAUAUUUUGAACCGCAUGGUUCAAAAGUGAAAGACGGUCUUGCUGUCACUUAUAGAUGGAUCCGCGCUGCAUUAGCUAGUUGGUAAGGUAACGGCUUACCAAGGCAACGAUGCAUAGCCGACCUGAGAGGGGGAUCGGCCACACUGGAACUGAGACACGGUCCAGACUCCUACGGGAGGCAGCAGUAGGGAAUCUUCCGCAAUGGGAGAAAGCCUGACGGAGCAACGCCGCGUGAGUGAUGAAGGUCUUCGGAUCGUAAAACUCUGUUAUUAGGGAAGAACAUAUGUGUAAGUAACUGUGCACAUCUUGACGGUACCUAAUCAGAAAGCCACGGCUAACUACGUG
rnacentral:rRNA from 1 species